GGGAGGGAAUGCUUAUUUACAUUAGAUUGAUUCAUUCUGUCAGAGUAAAGAAAGAGCCACACAGAGUUAAUCUCCAGGAAACGGAACAGGCAAGCCACACCACAUGCAGUGGCUCUGUAAUGUGGGAAUCCAGAACCACAUGACGCUGUAAAAGCUGAAGCAAAAGGCCUGGAACAGAACUACAGAUGACAGUUUAACCAGGGGCAAUUGACCACCCCAGACUGAAUGAUGCCCUUCACAGCAGCUAGCAGUGGGAAGACGAGUGGCUGCGUGACGGCUGUGACUGUGGCUAUGGCUGCGCUGUCGGCCCUAGUUGAGACAAAGACAAAGGGAGAAUUUGGCAGGCUGCUGGGGCUGCGGCUGGAUCAAACAGACUCUGUUUAUUGGACGUCUCCUGCCCUUCUCCCCUCGCAUCUAGGAGCUGUGUAUCAGACUGCAGUCUGAAGUGUCUGAGAGCGCCACUCUCUCUCUCACACGCACACACACAUACUUCGAGCACAAACUCACACACACACACGGUGAGACUGGAACCAGAGAGACCACACAGGGUGUUCAACACCACCACAAAGGGGGACUGUCGCUCAGCUUAUAGGCACACAGUAAAUAUGUUCCCAUUCUCCCUUUGCCUGGCCCUCUCUCUCUCUCUCUCUUCUUCUAGUAUCUCUCUCAACUUCACUCUUAGCAUAGGGGUCUUAGCUUUCCUCUCUCUCUCGCUCUCACACCCACCCACACACUCUCCCCCUCUCUCUCUCCACAUCACUUACUCUUACUGCUGCAGUAAUGCCCUGCGGCCUCUGUUGCCCCUGUGUCUUUUUCCCAUGGUGCCGCUAUAGGAAUGUGUUCUUGUUAAAGGUGAUAUAUGCAUCGUCAGGCGGAGAGAACUUCAUUACAGUCGGAUACAGAUACAGGGAAAACAGAGUUAAGUAAGAAGUCCCAAAAGCAUUCAGUCAUUACUCAACGGCCUUCACUGUGGGCAAACACCCAGCACACAGAGGAGAGAUCUACUUCUCCUGUCUUAUCCGUGUCCUGUAUGAAUAUACGUAUGCUCUCUCUAAUUCUCUCUUUCUCUCUCUCGGAGGAGGACCUGAGCCCUAGGACCAUGCAUCAGGACUACCUGGCAUGAUGACUCCUUGCUGUCCCCAGUCCACCUGGCCGUGCUGCUGUUCCAGUUUCAACUGUUCUGCCUGCGGCUAUGGAACCCUGACCUGUUCACCGGACGUGCUACCUGUCCCAGACCUGCUGUUUUCAACUCUCUAGAGACAGCAGGAGCGGUAGAGAUACUCUUAAUGAUCGGCUAUGAAAAGCCAACUGACAUUUACUCCUGAGGUGCUGACUUGCUGCACCCUCAACAAUUACUGUGAUUAUUAUUAUUUGACCAUGCUGGUCAUUUAUGAACAUUUUAACUUCUUGGCCAUGUUCUGUUAUAAUCUCCAACCGGCACAGCCAGAAGAGGACUGGCCACCCCUCAUAGCCUGGUUCUUCUCUAGGUUUCUUCCUAGGUUUUGGCCUUUCUAGGGAGUUUUUCCUAGCCACCGUGCAUUUACACCUGCAUUGCUUGCUGUUUGGGGUUUUAGGCUGGGUUUCUGUACAGCACUUUGAGAUAUCAGCUGAUGUAAGAAGGGCUAUUUAAAUACAUUUGAUUUGAACAUGA